rnacentral:rRNA from 1 species
GUCUGCUGGAGCGAAACCUGGUGACUGAAAUAUCUAAGUAACCAGAGGAAAAGAAAUACAACCGAGAUUCCGUAAGUAGCGACGAGCGAACGCGCGACUAGCCCUUAAGCUGGAUUGGUUCUAGGAAAACGCUCUGGAAAGAGCGGCCAUAGAAGGUGAUAGCCCUGUAUCUGAAAGGGCCAUUCCAGUGAAGACGAGUAGGGCGGGGCACGUGAAACCCUGUCUGAACAUGGGGGGACCAUCCUCCAAGGCUAAAUACUACUGACCGACCGAUAGUGAACCAGUACCGUGAGGGAAAGGCGAAAAGAACCCCGGAGAGGGGAGUGAAAUAGAACCUGAAACCGUGUGCGUACAAGCAGUAGGAGCUCCGCAAGGAGUGACUGCGUACCUUUUGUAUAAUGGGUCAGCGACUUACUGUUCGUGGCAAGCUUAACCGUAUAGGGGAGGCGAAGGGAAACCGAGUCUGAUAAGGGCGCAUAGUCGCGGGCAGUAGACCCGAAACCGGGUGAUCUAGUCAUGCCCAGGGUGAAGGUGCGGUAACACGCACUGGAGGCCCGAACCCACUCCCGUUGCAAAGGUAGGGGAUGAGGUGUGAUUAGGAGUGAAAAGCUAAUCGAACCCGGAGAUAGCUGGUUCUCCUCGAAAGCUAUUUAGGUAGCGCCUCAUAUGUAUCCUCUCGGGGGGUAGAGCACUGUUAUGGCUAGGGGGGUCAUCGCGACU